rnacentral:rRNA from 1 species
UACAGAGGUCCCAAGCGUUGUUCGGAUUCACUGGGCGUAAAGGGUGCGUAGGCGGUCGGGUAAGUCUGAUGUGAAAUCUCACAGCUUAACUGUGAAACUGCAUUGGAUACUAUCCGGCUAGAGGAAUGGAGGGGAGACUGGAAUACUUGGUGUAGCAGUGAAAUGCGUAGAUAUCAAGUGGAACACCAGUGGCGAAGGCGGUUCUCUGGGCCUUACCUGACGCUGAGGAGCGAAAGCGUGGGAGCGAACAGG